rnacentral:lncRNA from 1 species
GUUGGAGGUCAGCUUUGGUUCCUUCAUACAAUCUCAGCAAGUGUGGAUAGUUGACAGGUUGAUCCACUUUAGUAUCUUUAGUACUAUUUGCAAUUAGUAAAUCUAGAAUGGUGCUAAAGAGUGGUUAGAUAUCUAGCAAAAUCUAUAAGUUCAUAAUCUCCUUCUUGACUCAAUAAAACUCUUUUGAAAACAUUUUGUUAAGACUCAUGAACACACUAAUAUCAGUAAACAUCCCCCCAGACUUAAAUUACACAGUCCCCAGUGUAUAUCUAGUCGGAGUUAUGGUAAUAACAUAAACAUAAGUACAAAAUUUAACAAGUAAGAACGAUAACCUGCUCAGUGUCGAUCGACACAAUGAAGUGACAAUCGAUCGAUGUUGAU